rnacentral:rRNA from 1 species
AAAUGAAUUGACGGGGGCCCGCACAAGCGGAGGAACAUGUGGUUUAAUUCGAUGAUACGCGAGGAACCUUACCCGGGCUUAAAUUGCACUGGACGACUCUGGAAACAGAGUUUUCUUCGGACCAGUGUGAAGGUGCUGCAUGGUUGUCGUCAGCUCGUGCCGUGAGGUGUCGGCUUAAGUGCCAUAACGAGCGCAACCCUUAUCUUUAGUUACUAACAGGUUAUGCUGAGGACUCUAAAGAGACUGCCGUCGUAAGAUGUGAGGAAGGUGGGGAUGACGUCAAAUCAGCACGGCCCUUACGUCCGGGGCUACACACGUGUUACAAUGGGGGGUACAGAAGGCAGCUACACGGCGACGUGAUGCUAAUCCCAAAAACCUCUCUCAGUUCGGAUCGAAGUCUGCAACUCGACUUCGUGAAGCUGGAUUCGCUAGUAAUCGCGCAUCAGCCACGGCGCGGUGAAUACGUUCCCGGGCCUUGUACACACCGCCCGU